CAUUAAGUGGCUGAAAGUUAAGCAUUGGUCUCUUAAACCAAAUUAUAAUAUAGUAACGUAUAUUCUUAAUGA
rnacentral:tRNA from 2 species